rfam:Schistosoma mattheei strain Denwood, Zambia genome assembly, scaffold: SMTD_scaffold0022663
AUCCAAAUGACGAGUCCUAAAUAUGAUGAAACCUACGUCCUGGAU